rnacentral:rRNA from 1 species
ACUCCUACGGGAGGCAGCAGUCGGGAAUCUUCCACAAUGGGCGAAAGCCUGAUGGAGCGACGCCGCGUGAGUGAUGAAGGUCUUCGGAUCGUAAAGCUCUGUUACCAGGGACGAAACAAGACGGUACCUGGGGAGGAAGCCACGGCUAACUACGUGCCAGCAGCCGCGGUAAUACGUAGGUGGCGAGCGUUGUCCGGAAUUAUUGGGCGUAAAGGGCGCGUAGGCGGUCGUUUAAGUCAGGUGUGAAAGCCCCCGGCUCAACUGGGGAGUUGCAUCUGAUACUGGGCGACUAGAGUGCAGGAGAGGAAAGUGGAAUUCCGAGUGUAGCGGUGAAAUGCGUAGAUAUUCGGAGGAACACCAGUGGCGAAGGCGGCUUUCUGGACUGCAACUGACGCUGAGGCGCGAAAGCUGGGGGAGCAAAUGGGAUUAGAUACCCCGGUAGUCCCAGCCGUAAACGAUGGAUGCUAGGUGUGGGGGGUAUCGACCCCUUCCGUGCCGCAGUUAACACAAUAAGCAUCCCGCCUGGGG